rnacentral:rRNA from 1 species
GGUUAAGCGACUAAGCGUACACGGUGGAUGCCCUGGCAGUCAGAGGCGAUGAAGGACGUGCUAAUCUGCGAUAAGCGUCGGUAAGGUGAUAUGAACCGUUAUAACCGGCGAUUUCCGAAUGGGGAAACCCAGUGUGUUUCGACACACUAUCAUUAACUGAAUCCAUAGGUUAAUGAGGCGAACCGGGGGAACUGAAACAUCUAAGUACCCCGAGGAAAAGAAAUCAACCGAGAUUCCCCCAGUAGCGGCGAGCGAACGGGGAGCAGCCCAGAGCCUGAAUCAGUGUGUGUGUUAGUGGAAGCGUCUGGAAAGGCGCGCGAUACAGGGUGACAGCCCCGUACACAAAAAUGCACAUGCUGUGAGCUCGAUGAGUAGGGCGGGACACGUGGUAUCCUGUCUGAAUAUGGGGGGACCAUCCUCCAAGGCUAAAUACUCCUGACUGACCGAUAGUGAACCAGUACCGUGAGGGAAAGGCGAAAAGAACCCCGGCGAGGGGAGUGAAAAAGAACCUGAAACCGUGUACGUACAAGCAGUGGGAGCACGCUUCGGCGUGUGACUGCGUACCUUUUGUAUAAUGGGUCAGCGACUUAUAUUCUGUAGCAAGGUUAACCGAAUAGGGGAGCCGAAGGGAAACCGAGUCUUAACUGGGCGUUAAGUUGCAGGGUAUAGACCCGAAACCCGGUGAUCUAGCCAUGGGCAGGUUGAAGGUUGGGUAACACUAACUGGAGGACCGAACCGACUAAUGUUGAAAAAUUAGCGGAUGACUUGUGGCUGGGGGUGAAAGGCCAAUCAAACCGGGAGAUAGCUGGUUCUCCCCGAAAGCUAUUUAGGUAGCGCCUCGUGAAUUCAUCUCCGGGGGUAGAGCACUGUUUCGGCAAGGGGGUCAUCCCGACUUACCAACCCGAUGCAAACUGCGAAUACCGGAGAAUGUUAUCACGGGAGACACACGGCGGGUGCUAACGUCCGUCGUGAAGAGGGAAACAACCCAGACCGCCAGCUAAGGUCCCAAAGUCAUGGUUAAGUGGGAAACGAUGUGGGAAGGCCCAGACAGCCAGGAUGUUGGCUUAGAAGCAGCCAUCAUUUAAAGAAAGCGUAAUAGCUCACUGGUCGAGUCGGCCUGCGCGGAAGAUGUAACGGGGCUAAACCAUGCACCGAAGCUGCGGCAGCGACGCUGAUGCGUUGUUGGGUAGGGGAGCGUUCUGUAAGCCUGUGAAGGUGUGCUGUGAGGCAUGCUGGAGGUAUCAGAAGUGCGAAUGCUGACAUAAGUAACGAUAAAGCGGGUGAAAAGCCCGCUCGCCGGAAGACCAAGGGUUCCUGUCCAACGUUAAUCGGGGCAGGGUGAGUCGACCCCUAAGGCGAGGCCGAAAGGCGUAGUCGAUGGGAAACAGGUUAAUAUUCCUGUACUUGGUGUUACUGCGAAGGGGGGACGGAGAAGGCUAUGUUGGCCGGGCGACGGUUGUCCCGGUUUAAGCGUGUAGGCUGGUUUUCCAGGCAAAUCCGGAAAAUCAAGGCUGAGGCGUGAUGACGAGGCACUACGGUGCUGAAGCAACAAAUGCCCUGCUUCCAGGAAAAGCCUCUAAGCAUCAGGUAACAUCAAAUCGUACCCCAAACCGACACAGGUGGUCAGGUAGAGAAUACCAAGGCGCUUGAGAGAACUCGGGUGAAGGAACUAGGCAAAAUGGUGCCGUAACUUCGGGAGAAGGCACGCUGAUAUGUAGGUGAAGUCCCUCGCGGAUGGAGCUGAAAUCAGUCGAAGAUACCAGCUGGCUGCAACUGUUUAUUAAAAACACAGCACUGUGCAAACACGAAAGUGGACGUAUACGGUGUGACGCCUGCCCGGUGCCGGAAGGUUAAUUGAUGGGGUCAGCGCAAGCGAAGCUCUUGAUCGAAGCCCCGGUAAACGGCGGCCGUAACUAUAACGGUCCUAAGGUAGCGAAAUUCCUUGUCGGGUAAGUUCCGACCUGCACGAAUGGCGUAAUGAUGGCCAGGCUGUCUCCACCCGAGACUCAGUGAAAUUGAACUCGCUGUGAAGAUGCAGUGUACCCGCGGCAAGACGGAAAGACCCCGUGAACCUUUACUAUAGCUUGACACUGAACAUUGAGCCUUGAUGUGUAGGAUAGGUGGGAGGCUUUGAAGUGUGGACGCCAGUCUGCAUGGAGCCGACCUUGAAAUACCACCCUUUAAUGUUUGAUGUUCUAACGUUGACCCGUAAUCCGGGUUGCGGACAGUGUCUGGUGGGUAGUUUGACUGGGGCGGUCUCCUCCUAAAGAGUAACGGAGGAGCACGAAGGUUGGCUAAUCCUGGUCGGACAUCAGGAGGUUAGUGCAAUGGCAUAAGCCAGCUUGACUGCGAGCGUGACGGCGCGAGCAGGUGCGAAAGCAGGUCAUAGUGAUCCGGUGGUUCUGAAUGGAAGGGCCAUCGCUCAACGGAUAAAAGGUACUCCGGGGAUAACAGGCUGAUACCGCCCAAGAGUUCAUAUCGACGGCGGUGUUUGGCACCUCGAUGUCGGCUCAUCACAUCCUGGGGCUGAAGUAGGUCCCAAGGGUAUGGCUGUUCGCCAUUUAAAGUGGUACGCGAGCUGGGUUUAGAACGUCGUGAGACAGUUCGGUCCCUAUCUGCCGUGGGCGCUGGAGAACUGAGGGGGGCUGCUCCUAGUACGAGAGGACCGGAGUGGACGCAUCACUGGUGUUCGGGUUGUCAUGCCAAUGGCACUGCCCGGUAGCUAAAUGCGGAAGAGAUAAGUGCUGAAAGCAUCUAAGCACGAAACUUGCCCCGAGAUGAGUUCUCCCUGAC